rnacentral:rRNA from 1 species
CCUACGGGUGGCUGCAGCAAGGAAUCUUCCGCAAUGGGCGAAAGCCUGACGGAGCAACGCCGCGUGUGGGAUGACGCCUUUCGGGGUGUAAACCACUUUUCUCAGGGAAGAAGCCCUGACGGUACCUGAGGAAGAAGGACCGGCUAACUACGUGCCAGCAGCCGCGGUAAUACGUAGGGUCCGAGCGUUGUCCGGAGUUACUGGGCGUAAAGCGCGCGCAGGCGGCGGAGUAAGCAUGGCGUGAAAGCCCCAGGCUCAACCUGGGAGGGGCGUCGUGGACUGCUUCGCUUGAGGGCGGUAGGGGCUGGUGGAAUGCCUGGUGUAGUGGUGAAAUGCGUAGAGAUCAGGCGGAACACCCGUGGCGAAGGCGGCCAGCUGGGCCGUCCCUGACGCUGAGGCGCGAAGGCGUGGGGAGCGAACGGGAUUAGAUACCCUUGUAGUC